ensembl:lncRNA SORD2P sorbitol dehydrogenase 2, pseudogene
CCCGCCUUCCACCCAGUGUCUUGGACCCUCAGCUGGGCAGCACCACCAGAGCAACCAUACAUCCUGCAUGUUCCAGGCCUCACUCGAGAGGCAAAAAAGCUCCAUGGCGGCGGCGGCCAAGCCCAAGAACCUCUCCCUGGUGGUGCACGGACCAGGUGACUUGCGCCUGGAGAACUAUCCUAUCCCUGAACCAGGCCCAAAUGAGGUCUUGCUGAGGAUGCAUUCUGUUGGAAUCUGUGGCUCAGAUGUCCACUACUGGGAGUAUGGUCGAAUUGGGAAUUUUAUUGUGAAAAAGCCCAUGGUGCUGGGACAUGAAGCUUCGGGAACAGUCGAAAAAGUGGGAUCAUCGGCAAAGCACCUAAAACCAGGCUUCCUGACAAUGUCACCUUUGAGGAAGGCGCCCUGAUUGAUCCACUUUCUGUGGGGAUCCAUGCCUGCAGGAGAGGCGGAGUUACCCUGGGACACAAGGUCCUUGUGUGUGGAGCUGGGGCAAUCGGGGUAGUCACUUUGCUCGUGGCCAAGGCAAUGGGAGCAGCUCAAGUAGUGGUGACUGAUCUGUCUGCUACCCGAUUGUCCAAAGCCAAGGAGAUUGGGGCUGAUUUAGUCCUCCAGAUCUCCAAGGAGAGCCCUCAGGAAAUCGCCAGGAAAGUAGAAGGUCUGCUGGGGUGCAAGCCGGAAGUCACCAUCGAGUGCACGGGGCAGAGGCCUCCAUCCAGGCAGGCAUCUACACCUAGGAACAGAUAAGCUGCCAAUGCCUGAUUCGCCCCUCAGCGACCCACCAGCCACUUAUGGGAAGUUGGCAGGAAGUUGGAGGUGGUGGGAGGGAGUGGCACUGACAGAUCAAAGUAUGAGGAAACGAAGGGAAAAUAACAACUUCCAGGUUCCAAGCCCUACUGUAUGCCAGGUUCUCUGCUGUACUUUAUAAACAUGAGGCCUAAUCUGCACAACAGCCCUGAAAACCAGUUACCGUUUUAUGCUGAGGGAUUUGUGGUUUGUUUGAGGCAAGCCAAGUCAGGCCCAGGCCCAGCCCUGCCAGGCCCCAGUGCCUGAGUUGCCCCGCUGCUUAGGAGAGGAAGGGAAGGAGGGCACGAACAACCAUGCUAGGGUGGGGGGACAGGGCCAGGGCUGGAGAGGGUAGCAGGCAGCCGCCACCACAGGGGUCUCCUGUCCCUGCCUCCCAGACAGCCUCCCCAGGUAGCGUGGGCUUCCUCCUUCCUUCUGAGGCUCACAGCAGGAGGGCACUUUGCAUCACAUGAGACAUUCUAGGGAAGGCUGACCCACCAAGCUGAGUAGCAGAGCUGCCUAGACCUCCUCCUACUAAGUUGCCCAGCGGCCUUGGGAGCUGAGGAAGCAGUGGGGGAGAGGGAGGAGCGGGUGCCACCUUGGCAGUGUCGUGAGUUUCAGCUGGAGUCCGCCAGCCCUCUGCUUCACUGUCAUAGGCAGUGGUCGCCAUGUGGGAAGGGGCAAAAAGAAGCCGAAGCUCAGAGAGGAACAAUGGAUCUGUGUGUGAUUGAUCUACCCAUGGUAUGUCUUGGGCACCUACCAUGUGCCA